rnacentral:rRNA from 1 species
ACUCGGCGUAAAGAGUGGUUAAAAGAAUGAGUUUACUAAAGCCGAACGCCCCCUUAACUGUUAUACGUUCUCGAGGGUAAGAAGCCCCCCUACGAAAGUAGCUUUAAUAUUAUUGACCCCACGAAAGCUGUGGAACAAACUGGGAUUAGAUACCCCACUAUGCACAGCCGUAAACUUUGGCAGUUUAGUACAACAACUGCCCGCCAGGAACUACAAGCACCAGCUUCAAACCCAAAGGACUUGGCGGUGCUUAAGAUCCACCUAGAGGAGCCUGUUCUAGAACCGAUAACCCCCGUUAAACCUCACCCUCUCUUGUUUAAUCCGCCUAUAUACCGCCGUCGUCAGCUUACCCUGUGAAGGUCUAAAUAGUAAGCAAAAUCAGCA